ACCACAGUUUAAAUGUUGAAAUGUUUCCCACUUAAGCACAAAACACACUUGAUUUCGGCUAAAACAAAAACCUCAGCUUUUAUAUAUUAUGUUUCAAAGUGGAGAUGGCUGUGAAACUUGAGCCCUGACACAACCUCAACGUGACUUUUUAAAAGUGCUCAGAAAACCCUUCUUCUAAUGAACAUGAUGAGAGGCUGCUCCUUAAUGAUUUUUUUUUUGCCUGCCUUACAUCAUUUAUUCUAAAUCAUUAAAAAAUCAAAAUAGUUUACAUUAAACAAAUUCUCAAGUACAAAAGAGGAUGGUCUCCCUCAUUGUUGGAUGAAGAUGGAAAAGGCUACAGAGCUAGUUCCAGGGGAGAAUAGAGACUCGGUAGUGACAGCUUAAUUCUCAAGAGCUGUUACUUAACAGAACUUUAAAAAGCCAAAUGACAUAUUCUUGAAUUAUUAAUAAAAAUCGUGCAAAAUACACUUUAGGGACCAUGGGAAAAUUCAUUUUGUCCUUGCUUUUAACAUUUUCAGAGCCUAUCUCAGUGAACAAAAUGCUAAGUCCAAAAACAAGUGAAUUAAUAUUUAGGUGGUUGAGCAAGACUUCUGAUUUUUGUUUAUUGCUCUUUGAUUUUUUUUUUAGUAGCCCAUUGUAAAAACCCUGGGGCGCACCUUCAGAAUGCAUGAAUAAUAUCAAUAAUAACUAAUACAGCCUGCUAUGGAAAAUACUGUUUUCAAAACCACAGGUUAGUUCCUGGAAGUCAGCCGGUCAGAGAAAGGAUGUGGUGUAGCAGCAAGUUUAAAUAGCUUGUGCAACAAAGGGAAGAGAGCUCUGUUGACUUCUGCCUCCUUGAGGGUUGAAAUCAGAAAGAACUAUAUUUAAAUAGCUCAUUCAGAAAGCAUAGAAGAUGAAGAAACCAUUCCAUUUUGAAAAGCUUCACUCAUCACUUUGGGGAAUUCAGAUGAGAGAGGAAGUAAUGUAUCAGGAUAAUGAUACGAUAAAAGUGUAUUCUUUACGCUGUGCCUCCCAGGAAGCCCCGCCUCCAUAGCAGAAUGCUCAUGGUCUCCUGAGGGAAGUACACAGCACCUUAUUGGAAGCACUCUUGCCAGAGCACUGAACCUGAAUAUGACAAAGCCUGCUUAUCAAGCUACCAGUUUGGAGGAAAGACCAGGAAGAGAGAACAUGUUAAACAAAGCCAUGCAAAGCGGUCAGCAAAACCCAGAAUAUGGGAAAUUGCAGGACAAACAACCGAAUUUUGCCAACAAAUAAAUUGCAAGGGAAGAAAAGGGGAG